rnacentral:rRNA from 1 species
GACGAACCGUGCGAACGUUAUUCGGAAUCAUUGGGCUUAAAGCGCGUUUAGGCGGAUUCGUGCGUCUGUCGCUGAAAUCCCCCGGCUCAACCGGGGAACGGGCGCGGAUACGACGAGUCUGGAGGGGCAUAGGGGGACCUGGAACUUCCGGUGGAGCGGUGAAAUGCGUUGAGAUCGGAAGGAACGCCCGUGGCGAAAGCGAGGUCCUGGAUGCCUACUGACGCUGAGACGCGAAAGCCAGGGGAGCGAACGGG